AGUGAUGGGAAAGAGCUCUGGGGACAGGCAGGCCGGAUUUUGUCCCCAGCGCAGGCGCUCAAGGGCUGCUAUGUGAUCUCAGCAAGUUGGGUGACUCAUCUAAGCCUUCAUUUCCUUGUCUGUUCAGUAUGGAUAAUGGGAUAAGACGAAGGAAGAAGAUUGUUUGUGUCUGCCAGUGUAGCAAGUGUUUCGUACGUGUCUGUCACUACCAGGGCUGGCUUUCUGGGCUUGAAUAUACUGCAGCUUCCUAAGGCACAAAUGGGUCCCACAGAGGCCUAAAGCAUCUAUAACUCUUACCCUGAGAUUCCUACAUACAGGUGGCUGCUCCUAGCUCUCUGGGCCAUCCAUUCAUUAUUGAAACUGCCUGCCAGGGCAGAGGGUGACUACAAAGACAAGGAUAUGCCUAGCAUCUGUUGAACAGGAUUACCUGCAGUUUAUGGAAUCCAACCCAGGGGUUCCUGCAUGCUUAGGUAAGCACUCUACACUCCUGGGUCCCGGUCUCUUUCCCUCUCUCUCUCUUUGGGCCUGGAACUCAGAGACCUUCCUGCCUCUGUCUUCCAAGUGCUGGGAUGAAAGGCAUGUGCCGCCAUGUCUGGCUCCUGACCCCUCUUUUCCCUUUUCUGUGCCCCCCUUCCCUUCUUUCCUCAUCUGGGGAUACGAUCCAGGCCC